GAUGAACGCUGGCGGCGUGCCUAAUACAUGCAAGUCGAACGCUGAAGGCAGGAGCUUGCUCUUUCCGGAUGAGUUGCGAACGGGUGAGUAACGCGUAGGUAACCUGCCUGGUAGCGGGGGAUAACUAUUGGAAACGAUAGCUAAUACCGCAUAACAGUAGAUGUUGCAUGAUAUCUACUUAAAAGGUGCAAUUGCACCACUACCAGGUGGAUCUGCGUUGUAUUAGCUAGUUGGUGAGGUAACGGCUCACCAAGGCGACGAUACAUAGCCGACCUGAGAGGGUGAUCGGCCACACUGGGACUGAGACACGGCCCAGACUCCUACGGGAGGCAGCAGUAGGGAAUCUUCGGCAAUGGACGGAAGUCUGACCGAGCAACGCCGCGGGAGUGAAGAAGGUUUUCGGAUCGUAAAGCUCUGUUGUAAGAGAAGAACGAGUGUGAGAGUGGAAAGUUCACACUGUGACGGUAGCUUACCAGAAAGGGACGGCUAACUACGUG
rnacentral:rRNA from 1 species